rnacentral:rRNA from 1 species
CCUACGGGGGGCAGCAGUGAGGAAUAUUGGUCAAUGGACGAGAGUCUGAACCAGCCAAGUAGCGUGAAGGAUGACUGCCCUAUGGGUUGUAAACUUCUUUUAUAAAGGAAUAAAACGAGGCACGUGUGCCUUUUUGUAUGUACUUUAUGAAUAAGGAUCGGCUAACUCCGUGCCAGCAGCCGCGGUAAUACGGAGGAUCCGAGAGUUAUCCGGAUUUAUUGGGUUUAAAGGGAGCGUAGAUGGGUUGUUAAGUCAGUUGUGAAAGUUUGCGGCUCAACCGUAAAAUUGCAAUUGAUACUGGCAGUCUUGAGUACAGUUGAGGUAGGCGGAAUUCGUGGUGUAGCGGUGAAAUGCUUAGAUAUCACGAAGAACCCCGAUUGCGAAGGCAGCUUACUAAACUGUGACUGACAUUGAUGCUCGAAAGUGUGGGUAUCAAACAGGAUUAGAUACCCCAGUAGUC